rnacentral:rRNA from 1 species
GUACACUCCUACGGGAGGCAGCAGUGGGGAAUUUUGGACAAUGGGCGAAAGCCUGAUCCAGCAAUGCCGCGUGAGUGAAGAAGGCCUUCGGGUUGUAAAGCUCUUUUGUCAGGGAAGAAACGGUGAGAGCUAAUAUCUUUUGCUAAUGACGGUACCUGAAGAAUAAGCACCGGCUAACUACGUGCCAGCAGCCGCGGUAAUACGUAGGGUGCAAGCGUUAAUCGGAAUUACUGGGCGUAAAGCGUGCGCAGGCGGUUUUGUAAGUCUGAUGUGAAAUCCCCGGGCUCAACCUGGGAAUUGCAUUGGAGACUGCAAGGCUAGAAUCUGGCAGAGGGGGGUAGAAUUCCACGUGUAGCAGUGAAAUGCGUAGAUAUGUGGAGGAACACCGAUGGCGAAGGCAGCCCCCUGGGUCAAGAUUGACGCUCAUGCACGAAAGCGUGGGGAGCAAACAGGAUUAGAAACCCUAGUAGUCCCAUG